UACAGAGGUCUCAAGCGUUGUUCGGAUUCAUUGGGCGUAAAGGGUGCGUAGGCGGCGCGGUAAGUCGGGUGUGAAAUUCGCGGGCUUAACUCCGAAACUGCAUUCGAUACUGCCGUGCUUGAGGACUGGAGAGGAGACUGGAAUUUACGGUGUAGCGGUGAAAUGCGUAGAUAUCGUAAGGAAGACCAGUGGCGAAGGCGGGUCUCUGGACAGUUCCUGACGCUGAGGCACGAAGGCCAGGGGAGCAAACGGG
rnacentral:rRNA from 1 species